rnacentral:tRNA from 2 species
GGCGAGAUAGCUCAGCUGGUUAGAGCACAUCACUCAUAAUGAUGGGGUCGGCAGUUCAAAUCUGCCUCUCGCUACCA